rnacentral:rRNA from 1 species
GAAGGGAGCUUGCUCCCGGAUGUUAGCGGCGGACGGGUGAGUAACACGUGGGUAACCUGCCUGUAAGACUGGGAUAACUCCGGGAAACCGGAGCUAAUACCGGAUAGUUCCUUGAACCGCAUGGUUCAAGGAUGAAAGACGGUUUCGGCUGUCACUUACAGAUGGACCCGCGGCGCAUUAGCUAGUUGGUGGGGUAAUGGCUCACCAAGGCGACGAUGCGUAGCCGACCUGAGAGGGUGAUCGGCCACACUGGGACUGAGACACGGCCCAGACUCCUACGGGAGGCAGCAGUAGGGAAUCUUCCGCAAUGGACGAAAGUCUGACGGAGCAACGCCGCGUGAGUGAUGAAGGUUUUCGGAUCGUAAAGCUCUGUUGUUAGGGAAGAACAAGUGCGAGAGUAACUGCUCGCACCUUGACGGUACCUAACCAGAAAGCCACGGCUAACUACGUGCCAGCAGCCGCGGUAAUACGUAGGUGGCAAGCGUUGUCCGGAAUUAUUGGGCGUAAAGGGCUCGCAGGCGGUUUCUUAAGUCUGAUGUGAAAGCCCCCGGCUCAACCGGGGAGGGUCAUUGGAAACUGGGAAACUUGAGUGCAGAAGAGGAGAGUGGAAUUCCACGUGUAGCGGUGAAAUGCGUAGAGAUGUGGAGGAACACCAGUGGCGAAGGCGACUCUCUGGUCUGUAACUGACGCUGAGGAGCGAAAGCGUGGGGAGCGAACAGGAUUAGAUACCCUGGUAGUCCACGCCGUAAACGAUGAGUGCUAAGUGUUAGGGGGUUUCCGCCCCUUA